rnacentral:rRNA from 1 species
AUUGAACGCUGGCGGCAGGCCUAACACAUGCAAGUCGAGCGAGCGGCGCACGGGUGAGUAAUGUAUGGGGCUCUGCCCGAUAGUGGGGGAUAACUACUGAAUACUGUGGCUAAUACCGCAUACUCUCGUUCGAACCCAUAUGGGAUUAGCUAGUAUGUGGGGUAAAGGCUCACCUAGGCGACGAUCUCUAGAUGGUCUGAGAGGAUGAUCAGCAACACUGGGACUGAGACACGGCCCAGACUCCUACGGGAGGCAGCAGUGGGGAAUAUUGCACAAUGGGCGCAAGCCUGAUGCAGCCAGGCCGCGUGUAUGAAGAAGGCCUUAGGGUUGUAAAGUACUUUCAGCGGGGAGGCGUUACCCGCAGAAGAAGCACCGGCUAACUCCGUGCCAGCAGCCGCGGUAAUAC